UAGAUUUCACACCUUGUAAAAACAGCCCAGGUGAUAUGAAUACUCUCCUGGCAAAAGGGUGCCCCUGAGCUAGCAUAUUGCAUGAGGUAGCUCUUGCAGAGUGUGUGGGAGUUGUAAAAUACAUAUAAGCUACAGUUGCCUGUCAGAAGCAAUAAAUCUCAACAACAACAACAAAGUAGUUGGUAGUUGUUGUGCCUUGAAGCAAUUGAAAAAUUGAAAAUGAUUUGUCUGCCUGAAUGAGGGGAAGAAAGCACUUUAUUUGAAGAUGGGAACGGGACACAUGGACUCACAGCCACAUGUGUUUUAUACUGACGAGGGCUCCCCAGUGCACGUUGCUGCUACAGGACAUCAGUAAAGUACAACCACCUUCCAAAGUGAUAUAUCAACUGAAAUCAGAUAUGUCUGUUCAAAACAAACAAACAAAAAAAUCAAUCCAAACCCAGCAGGUUUUCAGGGCGUACCUGUUUGAGGAAUAAAAUUCAGUUUCAUACAUGAUUUGUGAUGGCACCUAGGCUUCUUAGGGCCUCCAACAUCUUGAAAGAAAGACUCCAGACUCCAGUCUUCCUGAGUGGCAAGGUCUUUGGUGAUUCCUAAACCACUUAUCUCCCCUCACUCAAUUGCCUUGUACUUGGACUCCGUGCUUGGACUCUUCAGGCUUGCAUUCCUCUCUGUUUUGUACUGACAGGACUAGCUCUUCUGUUAGUAAUUAGUGCUAACUAGUUCAUAUAUUUCAUAGAACUAUAACUGAAGUUGAUCAAUAUCAAUACUGAGAUUAAGCUUUUAGCAGAUAUUCAUUUAGUUUUCCAUCAUCUAUAAAAGAAACCUGGGAGUUACCUUGUGAACAUACAACCUCCAACAUCAGUGCUGUUAGAGUAGCGGAUUAUGGUGGUAUUCUGCUUUGGAGACAUAACAAACGAAUUAUUUCAGUAUGAAGUUCUUUCUUACAAUUUCUUAAAAUGUGUCUGUUCCCUCCUGAGCUGUGAUAUGUUUCUUUCUUUCACUUAGUUCAUCAUUUACUAAGUGACAGAUGCAGUACAAACUUUUCCUAUCUACUAAAUGCCCCCCACAAGCCCAGUUAUUCUCCCAUUGCCCUUACCUGUGUAGGAAAUAGGUUCUAAAUAUGUUUAGAAAUGUAGGCUCCAGCUCCAUGGGCACCUCUUUUACCCAUCAGUUGUUUAUAUCUAGGUUCCCAGGUGAACUAGCAUUUCUAACAGAUGUUGGAAAAAAAAAAGAAUAAAACUGAUCUGUAAGUUAGCAUUACAAUUAUAAAAGAAGCUCCAAAAUUUCAAAUGAACCAAACUUCUAUAGUCAUUUCUAGCUUUUUGUCUUUUCCUCUGAUUAUAAUUUUCUCUUUUCUUUAAGAAACAACGAACAAACAAGAAACAGAAUGAUGGCCCAGAAACAAAAACUAAUCUAUACAUCCAAGUCCUAGUGCUUUACAUAAUGAUAACCUCUAAUAUCAUUACCUAUUGAACGUGGUAAUUUCUCUCUACGGUAACUGUAUUGAGAAAAAUUACUGCCACGUCAUACAAAUAUUUACACUGAGGGCCUAGGACUGUAGUCUGUCUGGAAGCCAUCUAUUGACUAUAGCUGGUGAAGACAGCUAAUGAACAAGAUUAGGUUUCCUCCUUGUCUGAGACCUCUUUCACAAUUGACUGCACUGCUCAUUCAUCACCUAGGUGAGGCUCUAAGUUCUUUAAGAGAUCGAACUGCUUCCUGAUGUGGGGUUCACAUAUAAGCUCUUGAUUAGUGAGUUGAUUAAAGGAAUUUCCAAAGCUUGCCCAGUCUGACUGAUGGUGGCUAUUACAGCUGUAAUGUGAGAGUUUUACUGAAAGGAGAAGACAAACAGAUAAAAGUAUGGCAAAGGAAGCUGCCAGUGUUGUGAAAAAUCAAGGCUUGAGCACAAGUACAGUAGAGUCUGAAAAUAGAUACGGGGAAGCUCUUUUGUUGCUAUGGCUUUUCUUUUUUUUUCCUUUUUUUCUCCUCAGCAUGUACUUUUCCUUUCAAGUAAGAGUUAUAUGAAAUCUAAUGGAAGCAGAACUGUUGGUUUGAUUAAAAUAACAGGAAACCAAGUUAACAUUAAUGUCAACUGGAACAAAUGUUUCUCUGGUUAAUUCUUCCACCUAGGCAAGGCCACGUGGAGCUUGAUUCUCCAGCUAGCGGAUGGGACUGCCUUCAACUGGAAAAGAUUUCCUAGUUUUAAGCUACAGUUAGCACAAGGAAUUUCUCUUUCUGUCCUCAUGAACCUGAAGUGGUUUGUCAAGUUUUCACUUCAUGCAUAGAGGCUUGUAAAAUAUUGUUGAGAUUAUAUGGUAUGACUGGAGAGUAAACACUAAGCACCAUUGGAACAUCACCUCCUGUCAGCAAUUGCCAUACACAGAAUAGAAACAACUGAGUUGUCCACAGUUGUCCACAUAAAUUAAUCUAUGUCACACUGGAGCAGAAAGAUUCCAACCAUAAAGUUAUAGAAAUGCUGGUUGGAAGGAACUUCUGGUGUCACUUAGUUUAUCCUCCCCCUGAAUUUGCCCUGUGGAUAACUCGCUUGUUUCUGUUCGCUGCGUGGUACAACUGGUGACAUCUCCCCUGUGUGUGUGUGGCUGUAUUGCACUGCUGCUACCUUAACCCACUCACCAGGGGGAAGUGUGUAGAUCUAUGAGCAAAUAAUGUGUUAACACAGUUGCUGUUGAAACGAAGACAGACCUGAACAGCUUUAUCUUACUUUGUUUUGGCAAGACAAUCCUCCAGCCACACUUGAAACAUCCUCUGUUUUGGGAGCUUCUCUUCCCUCCACCCUGUCCUGACUUUCUGUGUCUGGGGAUGGGUUUUGGCUUGUAUAGGGAUAAGCAAUGUGUUACCCUGACUUCAGUGCAAAAUUUACAGGAGAUGGAACUGCUGGAUUAUUUCUGGUCUCGCUUUUGUCUGGUGUCAACUUAAGAGACUCUCUGCUAAACCACAGCAAAAAUGACUUGUGGUGUACAGCAUGUAUACAGCUAGCCUAUACAAAGAUGUGCCCCCAAAACAUUAAGUGUUCUCUUGGAGGUCUGUGGGGAAAGAAUCAUAUUUUGUUCAUUUUAGGAGGAAAGAAAAGAGAAAAAAUAUCAGGACGAUCUCAGAAACCUCUUUUCUCCUCCUCACCUUUCUCUUCUUAUCCAAAAAGAAGGCUGUCGUUAAAUGGCACGAAUGCAAAAAUUAAACUGCUCCCUCAUCCGCCUUCAGUAAUGUGAUAGAUGUCUUUGUUAAAUGGACAGCAGUGGAAAGGGGCAGCUAUGGGUUAUUUGAUGCCACUCCUGUGAAGAUGGAAGGUCGUGCUGGGGCUUUGCUCCCAAACAGAACUGAGAACCACCCAUAGCCAAAGGAAAGGAGUAAUCUUGCCAGUGACACCCUGAGCAAUCAGGAGAACGUUCUCUUGCCCAAACUCUGCAUGUCUAUGGAGAAGAAAUCCUAGCCAAGGCCAUAAAACCAGGCUGCACGAAUAGAAAUGGAGAUAGAACAACGCAUGCAUCUACUGCAAAGUGGGUGGUGUAAGCAUGCUAGAGAUUGGGAACCAUUAUUCAGGGCUGCUUUGUAUUUACCUUUGCUUUGUCUCCUGGCUGGGAAUCAACCAGCUGCUAUUUGCUGACUUUAAUGGAGCACCUGAGAGUGGACAUGCCUUUUCCAAGUGUUUUGCCAAGCACUGGUAACACAAUAGUUUAUCAGUGCUGCUAAGUGCAUUUUCCAAGGAAUGAGUGCCCACAGGAACAGCCGAAAGUGGUCUCUGUGCUGCUCAACCCCUUCCAGGCUGCAGUGCUGUGUCCACCCCAAGCUUUGUUUAAGGAUCCACAGAAUCCAUCCCAUGGGCCACGUGUCUGCUUCAUGAACCUCCCCCCCCACAGGUCUUGCUGCUGCCUGGCAUCCUGCCCAGCACUGCUAGAGCAGACACUGGUGGAGAGCCAGCAGGACACACGGGGUCUUGCUAGUUGAGAGCAUUGCUUCUGCUGCAGCAACGGGGAAAAAUACCAGGUACCUACCUGUGCCCGUGUGCAGGCAGGUAGAGCCUUGCACAGAGUAAGGAUGGGCUGGGGUGGCAGCCACAAGCUGGACUGCUCUCUGGCCCUGGAGGGAAGGUGAGCAUAAGGGGGAACAGAGUGGGCACCAUGAGCCCUGAUGUUUUGUGGUUGAAGUCCUCUGGGGGAACUGGCCUGUGGACCAGUUCCCCAGGUCAGAACAGGAGGACGCGAAAUAGAUUCUUCCAUUGAAAAAUGCACAGAAUGGCAACAGUAGGGAGCCAGCUUUUAAAUCUGUAUAUAAACAUCUUCUUAGAUCAGACUACCACAUGCUCUUAUGCUUUUUUCUCUUCUUAUGCCAUUUUAACAAAUUCACGCCUGUACCCACUGCAGUAAAUGUAAAGAAUUUGAGGUUAUCUGCAAACCACAGGUCCUUGUCUUUCAGGUGUACUAAAUACCUCUUCUUUUAUAGACCAAGCAUAUUGUAGAUUACUGAAUUAACUGUGCUGUCUUUACUAUCCACAAUUACUCCCACAAUAACUUAAUUGCAGCCCUAAGCCCAGGUAAUGGUGAAUCUAUCUAUAUUUCCAUGUAACAGCAGUAAAUAUCUGAUCUAAUGAGGAAAAACCUCCUUGGUGGAGCAGUAGUACACACUUACUCAGCAGGCACAGCCCUGGCCAGGCUGCCAGCCUGCAGACGUGGCUGCACACAAUGCAAGUGUCAGAAAAUGCUGUUUUCCCGAUGUGUAGGACCUCACAAACCUGUAAAACAAAACUCUUUGAGCAACACCCAGCCCCUAAACCUUGGCAAUAGCAAACCCAGCUUUUUA